CAGCCGCCGCGGUAAUACGUAGGGUGCAAGCGUUAAUCGGAAUUACUGGGCGUAAAGCGUGCGCAGGCGGUUAUAUAAGACAGAUGUGAAAUCCCCGGGCUCAACCUGGGAACUGCAUUUGUGACUGUAUAGCUAGAGUACGGCAGAGGGGGAUGGAAUUCCGCGUGUAGCAGUGAAAUGCGUAGAGAUGUGGAGGAAUACCGAUGGCGAAGGCAGCCCCCUGGGCCAAUACUGACGCUCAUGCACGAAAGCGUGGGGAGCAAACAGGAUUAGAUACCCCCGUAGUCCCUGUCUCUUAUAC
rnacentral:rRNA from 1 species